rnacentral:rRNA from 1 species
GACGUAGGGGCCAAGCGUUGUCCGGAGUUACUGGGCGUAAAGGGCGCGCAGGCGGUGGUCCGCGUCGGCGGUGAAAGUCCCCCGCUCAACGGGGGAGGGUCCGUCGAAACGGGAUCACUCGAGGCAGGGCGAGGUCGGUGGAAUUCCCGGUGUAGUGGUGAAAUGCGUAGAUAUCGGGAGGAACACCAGUGGCGAAGGCGACCGACUGGACCUGACCUGACGCUGAGGCGCGAAGGCGUGGGGAGCGAACGGGAUUAGAAACCCCCGUAGUCC